rnacentral:rRNA from 1 species
GAUGAACGCUGGCGGCGUGCCUAAUACAUGCAAGUCGAGCGAACGGACGAGAAGCUUGCUCCUCUGAUGUUAGCGGCGGACGGGUGAGUAACACGUGGAUAACCUACCUAUAAUACUGGGAUAACUUCGUGAAACCGGAGCUAAUACCGGAUGAUAUUUUGAACCGCAUGGUUCAAAAGUGAAAGACGGUCUUGCUGUCACUUAUAGAUGGAUCCGCGCUGCAUUAGCUAGUUGGUAAGGUAACGGCUUACCAAGGCAACGAUGCGUAGCCGACCUGAGAGGGUGAUCGGCCACACUGGAACUGAGACACGGUCCAGACUCCUACGGGAGGCAGCAGUAGGGAAUCUUGCGCAAUGGGCGAAAGCCUGACGGAGCAACGCCGCGUGAGUGAUGAAGGUCUUCGGAUCGUAAAACUCUGUUAUUAGGGAAGAACAUAUGUGUAAGUAACUGUGCACGUCUUGACGGUACCUAAUCAGAAAGCCACGGCUAACUACGUG